UACUCCCAGUCAUGGCUGACUCCUCCCUUUCCUUCGUUCUUGUUCCUAACAGUGAAGGAUCCAGUGAGAUUUUCCAGGUUAACGGUCAUAAUCGCCUACUGGUCCAACGUUCAGAAGUAACACAGGCACCUGGACAAUACACAGUAGAUGUGGAAGGACACGGUUGUACAUUUAUCCAGAUACACUGGAAUUCGCAAUAAAUCCAGUAUGGUGGUUAUAGAUGUAAAAAUGCUAUCAGGAUUUACUCCAACCAUGUCAUCCAUUGAAGAGGGUUUUGGUCGAGCAGACAGUUUCCCUUUUUCUGUUGAGCAGAGCAACCUUGUGUUCAACAUUCAGCCAGCCCCAGCCAUGGUCUACGAUUACUAUGAAAAAGGUAGGCAAGCAACAGCCAUGCCCUAAG
rnacentral:lncRNA from 1 species